rnacentral:rRNA from 1 species
GACGAACGCUGGCGGCGUGCCUAAUACAUGCAAGUCGAACGAGAGCGCCCGGUGCUUGCACUGUUCAAUCUAGCGGCGAACGGGUGAGUAACACGUGGGUAACCUGCCCAUCAGAGGGGGAUAACAUCCGGAAACGGAUGCUAAAACCGCAUAGGUCUUCGAACCGCAUGGUUUGAUGAGGAAAAGAGGCGCAAGCUUCUGCUGAUGGGUGGACCCGCGGUGCAUUAGCUAGUUGGUGAGGUAACGGCUCACCAAGGCCGGGAUGCAUAGCCGACCGGUGGGGGUGAUCGGCCACAUUGGGACUGAGACACGGCCCAAACUCCUACGGGAGGCAGCAGUAGGGAAUCUUCCGCAAUGGACGCAAGUCUGACGGAGCAACGCCGCGUGAGUGAAGAAGGUGUUCGGAUCGUAAAACUCUGUUGUUAGAGAAGAACAAGUGCUAGAGUAACUGUUAGCGCCUUGACGGUAACUAACCAGAAAGCCACGGCUAACUACGUG